rnacentral:rRNA from 1 species
AAGAGGUAGUGGAGGACCGAACCCACAUCCGUUGAAAAGGGUGGGGAUGAGGUGUGGAUAGGGGAGAAAUUCCAAUCGAACCCGGAGAUAGCUGGUUCUCCUCGAAAUAGCUUUAGGGCUAGCCUCGGUGUGAGUCUUGCGGAGGUAGAGCACUGAAUUUCCUAGGGGGCGUCAAAGCCUACCGAAGAAUAUCAAACUCCGAAUGCCGUGUAGAUAUCACCGGGAGUCAGACUGCACGAGAUAAGUUGGGCGGUCAAAAGGGAAAGAGCCCAGACCUACAGUUAAGGUCCCAAAGUGCGCGUUAAGUGGAAAAGGAUGUGGGAUUUCGAAGACAACCAGGAUGUUGGCUCAGAAGCAGCCAUACAUUCAAAGAGUGCGUAAUAGCUCACUGGUCGAGAGGUCCUGCGCCGAAAAUGUCCGGGGCUGAAACGCGCCACCGAAACUAAGGAAUCUGAAAAGAUUGGUAGAGGAGCAUUGCAUGCGGGAAGAAGCAGUACCGGAAGGAGCUGUGGACUGCAUGGAAGAGAGAAUGCCGGAAUGAGUAGCGAGAUAGAGGUGGGAAUCCUCUAGGCCGAAUAUCCAAGGUUUCCAGGGUAAAGCUGAUCUGCCCUGGGUGAGUCGGGACCUAAGGUGAGGGCGAGAGCCGUAGCCGAUGGACAACAGGUUGAUAUUCCUGUACUGCAGUAUGACAGAACUGUGGGGACACGUAAGGAGAGCGGGAGCCGGGAAUGGAAAGCCCGGUACAAGCGAGGUACCAGUAUGGUAGGAAAAUCCGCCAUGCAAUGGGAAGACGUGAUGUGGAGUGAAUUUUAGUAGCGAAGCCCGUGAGCCAUGCGUCAAGAAAAGCCGCUAUCGUUCAUAUUGUACCCGUACCGUAAACCGACACAGGUGGAUGAGGAGAGAAUCCUAAGGCCGGCGGAAGAAGUAUUGCCAAGGAACUCGGCAAAAUGGCCCCGUAACUUAGGGAGAAGGGGUGCCUGCGAGAGCAGGCCGCAGAGAAUAGGCUCAAGCAACUGUUUAGCAAAAACACAGGUCUAUGCGAAACCGAAAGGUGAGGUAUAUGGGCUGACGCCUGCCCGGUGCUGGAAGGUUAAGAGGAGAGGUUAGCGGUAACGCGAAGCUUUGAAUUUAAGCCCCAGUAAACGGCGGCCGUAACUAUAACGGUCCUAAGGUAGCGAAAUUCCUUGUCGGGUAAGUUCCGACCCGCACGAAAGGCGUAAUGAUUUGAGCGCUGUCUCGACAAUGCAUCCGGUGAAAUUGAAGUACCAGUGAAGAUGCUGGUUACCUGCGCCAGGACGGAAAGACCCCAUGGAGCUUUACUCCAGUCUGGUACUGGGACUCGGUAUUGCAUGUACAGGAUAGGUGGGAGGCUAGGAAAUGGUAACGCCAGUUGCCAUGGAGCCGCUGUUGGGAUACCACCCUUGCAGUAUUGGGUUUCUAACCAGCCGCCGUGACCCGGCGGUGGGACAAUGCCAGACGGGGAGUUUGACUGGGGCGGUCGCCUCCGAAAGGGUAUCGGAGGCGCCCAAAGGUUCCCUCAGAAUGGACGGAAACCAUUCGAAGAGUGCAAAGGCAGAAGGGAGCUUGACUGCGACACCGACGGGUGGAGCAGGUACGAAAGUAGGGCUUAGUGAUCCGGUGGUAUUAAGUGGGAAUGCCAUCGCUCAACGGAUAA